rnacentral:lncRNA from 1 species
UGUGGCAGUGUGAGGUAACACUGCUAUAUUAGCCCCAGAAUGGCACUUUCAGUGUUCCCUGACUAGAGGGAGUUAAAAAUCAGGUUACUCUAGUCUAGUACAUCAAAUAGGGAGCUACAUAAACCCUAUGCAGAGGGAAAUCAGUCUCUCCUGUGAAGAACUGGGCCGGAGACAGAGAGACUGUGAGUCAAAAAGACUGCUGAAACUGUGUGGAAAGUAAAGGUAUUUUGCAAGCCUUUAUUUUUAUUUGUUAAACUACUGGAGUCAGCUUACCUGCCCAGUAGCA